UACGAGUGCCUCAAGCGUUAUCCGGAAUCAUUGGGCGUAAAGGUUGUGUAGGUGGUUGUAUUAGUCUUCUGUUAAAUUCUUCGGCUUAACCGGGGGCAUGCAGGGGAAACGGGUACGACUCGAGGAUGGCGAGGGGUUAGCGGAACUCAUAGGUGUAGCGGUGAAAUGCGUAGAUAUCCGGAAGGAACACCAGUGGCGAAAGCGGCCUUCUCGGACCAUUUCUGACGCUCAGACGCGAAAGCUAGGGUAGCAAACGGGAUUAAGAA
rnacentral:rRNA from 1 species